rnacentral:rRNA from 1 species
AGAGUUUGAUCAUGGCUCAGAACGAACGCUGGCGGCGUGCUUAACACAUGCAAGUCGAGCGCGAACGGAAUCUUCGGAUUCUCAGUAGAGCGGCAGACGGGUGAGUAACACGUGGGCAACCUACCCCGAGGCGGGGGAUAACCACUGGAAACGGUGGCUAAUACCGCAUGAGACCACAACCCUGCGGGGUUAUGGUUAAAGGCUUCGGCCACCUUGGGAGGGGCCCGCGGCCGAUUAGCUAGUUGGUGAGGUAACGGCUCACCAAGGCGACGAUCGGUAGCUGGUCUGAGAGGAUGAUCAGCCACACUGGUACUGAGACACGGACCAGACUCCUACGGGAGGCAGCAGUGGGGUAUAUUGCGCAAUGGACGAAAGUCUGACGCAGCAACGCCGCGUGGGUGAUGAAGGCCUUAGGGUCGUAAAGCCCUGUCAGGUGGGAAGAAACCGGACUUGUUCCGCUGACGGUACCACCAAAGGAAGCACCGGCUAACUCCGUGCCAGCAGCCGCGGUAAUACGGAGGGUGCAAGCGUUGUUCGGAAUUACUGGGCGUAAAGGGCGCGUAGGCGGACCGAUUAGUCUGGUGUGAAAGCCCGGGGCUCAACCCCGGAAGUGCACUGGAAACUGUUGGUCUUGAGUUCGGGAGAGGAAGGCAGAAUUCCCGGUGUAGGAGUGAAAUCCGUAGAUAUCGGGAGGAAAAUCAGUGGCGAAGGCGGCCUUCUGGAACGAAACUGACGCUGAGGCGCGAAAGCGUGGGGAGCAUACAGGAUUAGAGACCCUGGUAGUCCACGCCGUAAACGAUGGAUGCUUGGUGUGGGGUUCAUUUACGAACUCCGUGCCGGAGCUAACGCAAUAAGCAUCCCGCCUGGGGAAGUACGGUCGCAAGACUAAAACUCAAAGGAAUUGACG